UACGUAGGGUGCAAGCGUUGUCCGGAAUUAUUGGGCGUAAAGAGCUCGUAGGCGGUUUGUCGCGUCUGCUGUGAAAACCCGAGGCUCAACCUCGGGCCUGCAGUGGGUACGGGCAGACUAGAGUGCGGUAGGGGGAGAUUGGAAUUCCUGGUGUAGCGGUGGAAUGCGCAGAUAUCAGGAGGAGCACCGAUGGCGAAGGCAGAUCUCUGGGCCGUAACUGACGCUGAGGAGCGAAAGCAUGGGGAGCGAACAGG
rnacentral:rRNA from 1 species